UUCAGUGCUGCAUGUGUAAUGGAUGUUUAUACAGUGAUUCUCUUCUGUGCUUCAGCAUAUGCUGUUUCUGGAUCAGACAUCACAGCAGAUGAGGAAAACAUUUCUGCUGAGGAGGAUUCACAUGUCACAUUAUCUUGCAGUUAUUCCUCUAAUGAUUAUCUGUUCUGGUACCGUCAGUAUCCUGGAUCAGCUCCUGAAUUUCUUGUAGUUAUUCUUGAUGGCACAACUAAUGACAAAACGUCUGAAGUAGAUCCAAGAAUGUCUGUGAAACUCACUAAACAGGAGCAGAAACAUGUUCAUCUGGAGAUCUCCUCUGCUGCUCUAUCAGACUCUGCUCUGUAUUACUGUGCCAUGAGGCCCACAGUGACAGAAAACCAUUCACACCCCGACAAAAACCCCAGACUAUGUGCUGUUGUGCCCACCCAGGAUAUCUGCAAGCCCACCCUUCUGCACCUGGCAGGAUCCGGGUCAGCAGGAUCAAAAAUGCCAUUCUGUAGAACCAAUAAAUGUAUACAGAUUUGA